rnacentral:lncRNA from 1 species
UCAAGACAGCUGGUGCCUUAAGAAUUGGCCCAGCCUCAGAUCCUGUCUUUAGCAACCAGCUAAUAUUUACCCAGAGGUACUGCAAUAGAGUAUUUCAAAAUGGAAUCAGGAUCUGGUGGGCCUCAGAAAUUGUCUCUUUUCUGAGUUUCAGUUUGGUUCUCCUGGAUGUUUUGCUCUGUUUUGGUACCUGUAAUAUAGGGAAACACAACUUUUUUUGGGAAAGCCCUUUGACCCCAGCUUGCUAGUUGCAUAAUAAUAAAUUUUCUGUUCCUAAUGGUUUUAUUGCUUU